rnacentral:lncRNA from 1 species
CAAGAAAAGAGAGAAAAAUAGAACAGACAAAUUUUACGUGGAAACCCUUUCGGGAAAAAAAAUCACGGUAGAAGAGAAGAAAAUUUACUAUUUCGAAUUUGAGUUAUUACAAUGAGUAUAGAAAACCUUAUUCUAAUCAACCUCUAAUAGAAGUAGUGCAAUAAGGUUAAAAUAUCUUAUUCAAAUCAAUAUCAAACAGAAGAAGUAAAUUUCUAUAGCCUGUGCCGUUUCGCCCUUGUGGAUCCCCUUAUCUUGCCACUUGUAUUUUAUUUUAAUAAGAAUUUGGAUCACAACUCUAACAAGUUGACUAAUUUUUUUAUGAAUGUUUAAAGAUUUUCUAAAAACAAAAUAUCUUUUUACAAUCAUUUUUUAUGCCAUAUCAAGAAAAAAAAACUAAUUUCAAUAAACAAAUUAAAUUAAAAUAGGGACUAAAUUAUAAAUGUAUGCAAAGCCAAAAGGACUUAACUCACAGAAAUUCCAAAAUUAAGAAAACAAUCCAAAGGUACCAAAUCAAAUAAUAAAGUUUGAACUGUAGGAAAUCGAACCCGUGUUGUAAAAAGAACCAAAAUUAGUAAAAGACAAAACAAUAGUGGCAAAAAGUAUCUUAAGACAAAAAAACGAAUCUGCUGGCCACCAAUGAAAAACGACAACAAUCUUUAAAUAAUUUUAUCUAUUAAAUAAGUAACUUGCUAAAUAACCGAUAUGUGAUUUGAUGCAACGGUAAGGUACAUUGCACUUCUAAUGGAAGAACGUAGAGAGAAACCGUCACCAAAAAGGAAAAGGAAGCGACUCUCCAAUUCGACUUUGUAGCAAAUAAAGUAUAAGUUCCGUAUGAACUUAAUAUGGCAAAAACAACAAAUAAGUUGAAACUUUAGGUGUUAGCAGCUCUCAUGACCUAAAAAAUAUAAAAAUUACAAGAAAAUUACUUACCCUCAAUAUUGCCUCAAAUAUAGAAAAAAUCGAUUCAAUCACUCAAUUCCUAGGUCAACCGAUCUACUGGUUUUUUUGGACCUGUAUCUUUUUCGGUUUCGAUCUAAUCGGUCCAAUCGACUUACUUGGUCCAGUUCAAGUUUUUAUGGUUUUUUUAUAUUUUUUUUAUAAGCUUAUAUGAAUUUUAAUAUUUUAAUAUUUCUUUUAUUUUUUUAUGAUUUUUAAGAUUUCUAAUACAUUUUUAUAAUAUUUUAAAUAUGCUCUAUUAAAUUUUUUAAAAAUUUAUAAUUUAUUGGAAUUUUUAUAAUAUUUAUAAGUUUAUGUCAAUCUUAAUUCUUUUAAUAUUUAUAAUUUUUUUACAAUUUUUCUAUUUUUUUAAUUUUUUUAAUUAUUUUAUUGGAAAUAUAUUAGAUUAAAUAAAAAAAUUGGUCAGCCAAUUUAUUUCAACGGAUAAUAUGAUCAAUAACGAAAACUGUUAAUGGAGGAGAUUAAUUAAUUAUUUUUGUAACACCCCUUUCCCGUAUUCGAUGCCGGAAUAGGGUACGAGGUAUUACCAGAACACGUACACUUUUAACCAUAUUAAACCGAGUUGUAAAAUUUCAUCUAAACUAAAACUUUCAAAUUGUUAUUCUUAAUUCGCUAAUUAGGGUUUACGUAGCCCAAUAUAGUCACAAUCUUUCAUUUCCUCGUCGUAUGAAUUUAAAAAUUUUCACUUACUUAUUGAAUUCAUCACGAGUGCCUGAAUUGAUCCGUAUCAUUACAUACUCUCAUGUCGUUACAUUUUCCUAUUUAACUAUUGUAAUAUAUCAAUUAUUCAAUAUCUUAUAAGCUAAGUGUCACAUAUACAUUAUCCAUUCAUCUCCCAUACAACUAUCAAUAUUAGCCACAAAGAUAGUACAAAUUUUCUCUAUUCGAUGUUAAAUCAAAACAUGUUACUUCAUUACCAACUACCCUUACUAAAUAUAUACCUUAAACUAGCCCAAGUGUUUAACCAUUCACCCAUGACAUAAAUAUAUUUUAUCUAUUAUUGCAGAAUAUAGAUGUGCUACCCAAAUCAUAAUUCACCUCACAUGGUAAAAGAGUUAAUUUUUAUCAUUUGUCAAAUAAAUUACAAAACAAGUUAUAUAACAAAAUAUAGAUACAUUUUAAACCUCACCAAUAAACAAAUUCUCAUGGCAUUAAAUAAUUAUCACGUAUUAAAGACAAACGUACUUGACAUUUCCAUCACGUAAACAGGAUUAAUCAGUGCAACCUCAAUGAUGUAAUCAUCAUUUUAACUUACUUAACCAAGCCAAAUUGUACCAUCAUCUCACACAUAGAAUGACCCACCGAUCAUGUUUCUCAAUUAUGUCACUUAAUAGACCAAAUAUACCUAACCUUUAUCAUCAUGAUCAAUCCACAACCAAAAUACAUCCAUAUAUCAAAAUUACCACACACAUAUAUAUAUACCAUACACACAUACUAUAAAACUUUAUUUUCCCCGUGACCAAUAAUGCACAAUUAUAAGUAUCAUUUCUAUUUUAUCGUUUAUCAAUUAUAAUCGAACAUAUGACCAAUUAUAGACAAAUCAUUCAUAUAUAUUUUCUAAUUUUCCUCCUCCUCCUCUCCAUUCCACAUCCUUAAUGUGUAUAAUACAUUUAAGCAACAUUUUUCCAUACUAUCACUAUUUUCCUGUAUGUAAAUUCAAGUUGUCUAUCUGAGUCAGAGUCACUAAUUUAUUUAUAUCUCGAGCUACAGAGCUCCAAAUUAAGAUCCGUUAAUUUUCCCUGAAACUAGACUCACAUAUUUUCUUACCAUAAAAUUUUCAGAAUUUUUAGUCUAUCCAAUAUGUACAGUUUAUUCUUUAAAAUUUCCACUGUUGCACUGCUUGACAGUUCUAACCUCUCUUCACUAAAAAUUGAUUAUCUCAUUGUACAGAAUUCAGAUGGUAUUCCCGUUUAUUUCUCAUAAAAAUAGACUCGUUUACGAUUCUAAAAAUAUAAUUUUUAACGCAUAAUUAAUUUUUUACAAUUUUUAAUGAUUUUCCAAAAUCAGAACAGGGGAUUCCGAAAUUAUUCUGACUCUGUCUCACGAAAUUUAUUAUAUCUCAUGAUUUACAAUUUCAUUGCUUACACCGUUUCUUCUAUGAGAAACUAGACUCGAUAAGAUUUAAUUUUAUAUUUUACUCAUCUUCUAAUUCGAUUCCCACAAUUUUUGGUGAUUUUUCAAAGUUGGCACACUGCUGCUGCCCAAAACUGUUUUAGUGCAACGUAUGAAUUACCAUUUUGACCCUAAACUUUUAACACAUGACAGUUUCAUCCCUAGGCUCGGAAAAUGAAAUUCUUGCAAUUUAAUCCUUGAUAAAAGCCUAAUAAUUCUCACACAUAUCAAUAACAGCCCAUGGAUUCCAUAAAAUUUCAGAAGUUUUCCACAAUUUCAAUACUUUUCAACUUAAUCCCUAAAAUAUAUUUUCAUCCGAAAUUCUUUAAUAAAACACCUUUAAACAUCCAUUAACAUAUCAAUUUCAUCAUCAAAUAACAAAAAUAAUAUGAACUUAUCAAUGGUAUCUUUCUAAACUUUCAACAAAAUGAGAAGCUAAUAGAAUACUAGGUUGGACCUAAUUGUAAAAGUCUAAAAAUAUAAAAAUUUUAAGGAAAAAGUAAGAAUUUCACUUACUUGAAGCUAAAAUAUGGAAGACCAGCUCACCCUCUUCCAUGGCUGUUUCCCACCGAAAUUUCAAGAAGAAAUGGUCUUGAAAUCCUUAAAAUAAAUUUUGGCCAC